AGCUACUGCUAUCAGAGUUCGAUUAAGCCAUGUUAGUUGAGGGUGCUUUUUCUUCUUCGGAAGAAGGAGUAACCCGGCGGACGGCUCAGUAACACGUGGACAACUUGUCCUUUGGACCGGGAUAACCCCUGGGAAACUGGGGCUAAUACCGGAUAGAGCAUUGAUAGCUGGAAUGCACGAUGCUCGAAAGCUGAGGCGCCAAAGGGUAGGUCUGCGGCCGAUUAGGUUGUUGUUGAUGUAAUGGAUCAACAAGCCUCCGAUCGGUAUGGGUUGUGAGAGCAAUAUCCCAGAGAUGGGUUCUGAGAGAAGAACCCAGGUCCUACGGGACGCAUCAGGCGCGAAAACUUUACAAUGUGCGAAAGCACGAUAAGGGAACUCUGAGUGCCUCCAAAGGAGGCUGUUCAGGUGUCUAAAAAGCAUCUGAAGUAAGGGCUGGGCAAGACCGGUGCCAGCCGCCGCGGUAACACCGGCAGCCCAAGUGGUGGCCACUUUUACUGGGUCUAAAGCGUUCGUAGCCGGCCAUGUAAGUUCCUUGGGAAAUUUGACCGCUUAACGGUUAAGCUUCCAGGGAAUACUGCUUGGCUUGGGACCGGGAGAGGUCAGAGGUACCUCAAGGGUAGGGGUGAAAUCCGUUAAUCCUUGGGGGACCGCCAGUAGCGAAGGCGUCUGACCAGACCGGAUCCGACGGUGAGGGACGAAGGCUAGGGUAGCGAACCGGAUUAGAUACCCGGGUAGUCCUAGCUGUAAACGAUGCGGGCUAGGUGUUGGCAUUACUGCGAGUGAUGCCAGUGCCGAAGGGAAGCCGUUAAGCCCGCCAUCUGGGGAGUACGGUCGCAAGGCUGAAACUUAAAGGAAUUGGCGGGGGAGCACUACAACGGGUGGAGCUUGCGGUUC
rnacentral:rRNA from 1 species